rnacentral:rRNA from 1 species
AUUGAACGCUGGCGGCAUGCCUUACACAUGCAAGUCGAACGGUAACGCGGGGCAACCUGGCGACGAGUGGCGAACGGGUGAGUAAUGCAUCGGAACGUGCCUGGUAGUGGGGGAUAACUGCUCGAAAGAGCAGCUAAUACCGCAUACGACCUGAGGGUGAAAGGGGGGGAUCGCAAGACCUCUCGCUAUCAGAGCGGCCGAUGUCGGAUUAGCUAGUUGGUGGGGUAAAAGCCCACCAAGGCGACGAUCCGUAGCUGGUCUGAGAGGACGACCAGCCACACUGGGACUGAGACACGGCCCAGACUCCUACGGGAGGCAGCAGUGGGGAAUUUUGGACAAUGGACGCAAGUCUGAUCCAGCCAUGCCGCGUGCGGGAAGAAGGCCUUCGGGUUGUAAACCGCUUUUGUCAGGGAAGAAAUCUUCUGGGUUAAUACCCUGGGAGGAUGACGGUACCUGAAGAAUAAGCACCGGCUAACUACGUGCCAGCAGCCGCGGUAAAAC